UAUUAGUGUUUCUUUUGUGAGUGGCGCAUGUAGGGUGGCUCUGUUUGCUCUUUGUGCAGAAUCCGCAUCAAGAGAUUUUGGAAGUAUCAUUUUUUGACUUCUGGGCAGCUGGUGAUCGUUGGCCCUGGUGCCCUA